rnacentral:tRNA from 1 species
GUGAUUGUAGCUCAGUUGGUUAGAGCGCUGGACUGUGACUCCGGAGGUCGCGGGUUCGAGCCCCGUCAAUCACCCCA